rnacentral:rRNA from 1 species
GACGAACGCUGGCGGCGUGCUUAACACAUGCAAGUCGAACGGAAAGGCCCUGCUUUUGUGGGGUGCUCGAGUGGCGAACGGGUGAGUAACACGUGAGUAACCUGACCUUGACUUUGGGAUAACUUCAGGAAACUGGGGUUAAUCCAGGAUAGGAGCCCCUGUACCAUGGUGGGGGUUGGAACGUUUGGGCGGUUGUGGAUGGACUCGCGGCUUAUCGGCUUGUUGGUGGGGUAGUGGCUUACCAAGGCAUUGAAGGGUAGCCGGCCUGUGAGGGUGACCGGCCACAUGGCGACUAAGGGACGCCCCAGACUCCUACGGGAGGCAGCAGUGGGAAAUAUUGCACAGUGGGCGGAAGCCUGAUGCAGCAACGCCGCGUGCGGGAUGACGGCCUUCGGGUUGUAAACCGCUGUCGCCUGUGACGAAGCGUGAGUGACGGUAAUGGGUAAAGAAGCACCGGCUAACUACGUG